CAACCUUUGGGAGGUGGAAACUCGUGAUUUCCUACAGCUAUUGCUUUGAAUAAAGCCACUCCACUUUCAUCUGUUUACUGCUUGCUUUGCAGGAGUAUACAGAGAGUGCCUUCUUUUCUGCAAGUAACCGUAUUUGUAAAACAACAAAGUGCAGAGGAGCCCAGCCAGAGAUUGCCCUUGUGCUACUACGCAGGAUGAAUUCCUGAGGAAGAAGAAUCUCAGAGACUGAUCAUGAGUAUUGUUCACACUAAGGCACUUCACAGACAUGUCCAACCUGCAAAUCUUGGACUUUUGGGGCUGGAUCCAGUUGCAAGUUCCAUGCUGAGGCUGUACCACAUUGCUGGCAGUGGAACUCUGUUGAUUCUGGUCUUAUGAAUACCCUGAAACCUCAGCGGUGGGAUGGUGUCAUCAAAGGAACAACUAGGCUGCUAGGCUGGCAUUGCUUGGACCCCUCCAAGGAAGCCAUUCCCUCAGCCCAGUGCUGUCCUGCUCUAGAGAAGUGGGACUUUUUGCAGAGACAUUCUCAUUUCCUGCUUCUGGACAAACCAGUCCUCACUUGUCCAGUUCAGAGGCCCUCAGCCCUUUGUGGAGAUGGCAUGCAGGUCAUAGGGCUAGAAGUAUGUAGAUACCUGAACUAGGCUGGAUUACAUACCUGACAUUACCCAUAAAAGCAAAAACAACUUCUACAUAAUUUCAUAUAUUCUCUGGGGGUUGUACUUUGAACAUUCCAGAGAAAUGCUGUAUGUCCACCUAAGUUUCUUAUAGCUUUGUAGGUCCACACACUGGACAUUUCCCAGUAAUUUUCUUUCACCAUGCAAGACACUUGGCUUCUUCCUUGGUUAUUGUUCUGUACCUUCCUUUGACAUCUGUGAGAAGACUCUCUCCCUCUCCCUUCUUAGUACAAUCUUUUACUGGUAGCUUUUUACAGAUGCCACGAUCAUUUAACUGCUGUACCAAGGUGGUGAACAAGAAAGCAAUAUUUAGGCAUGAAGUCCUACAGUGUGCAGCUACCAGUGCUCUCUUCAUCGGCCAACCACAACUUCCCUUCCUAUUGCCCACCUGGGAGGGAGCCACAGAACAGCCGGGGAGGAGAGUCCUGCCUGCAGUGAUGGGGAUAGGCGGGGCUGCAGCACGUCUUGCCCUGAGCACCCACCACUGAAAGUGAAUCCAUUGCACGUGGGUGUAAGUUGGUAAAUCCUGAUGGGAAAUAGAUUGAAAAGAUCCUUGGUUUUUUUUCAUUUGCUUUCUUUCCAACCAGUUUCCGCUCUUCUAGUUGCACUGCUGAAAUACUUCAAUGUCUUUUGAUGACGAGAAAGUAAGAGGUUGCAUGAAACAGCUAUUCUGCUCUGGGUUCCCUGCCCCUGAAUGGACUCUUCUGGGGGAACCUAUAUCACAGAAGAGGAGAGUUAUAAGAUCUCAUCUGUAUAGCUGAGGCUGAGUCCUGAUUUAGAAUUGGCUCUUAGCACAACUCAAGUCCUAAAAAUAGAUGACGUAUAUUUAUUCAUACUUUAACUGAAAUUAGCACGCCAAAACCAACUUUGUUGUAAAAGCAUAAAAAAAUGUAUUUCAUUUGCUGUGUGCCUUUGUCCUAUCUAUGUGCAAUUGAUUUCUGGUUUACAAAAGCAAAACUAAACAAAAAAACCCUAAUUUGAGCCAGUAUCAACACAAUUGUCCUGAUACAAUAUGUUCACAUCAAGGAAUCAAUUUAAAAGUGGUGUCGAAGACAGAAUAUGCUGAAAACUUUUCUUUUUUGUGACUUU